rnacentral:rRNA from 1 species
GGGGAAUUUUCCGCAAUGGGCGAAAGCCUGACGGAGCAAUACCGCGUGAGGGAGGAAUGCCUUUGGGUUGUAAACCUCUUUUCUCAGGGAAGAAGAUCUGACGGUACCUGAGGAAUAAGUAUCGGCUAACUCCGUGCCAGCAGCCGCGGUAAUACGGAGGAUGCAAGCGUUAUCCGGAAUCAUUGGGCGUAAAGCGUCCGCAGGUGGUUUCCAAAGUCUGCUGUUAAAGACUGGAGCUCAACUCCGGAACGGCGGUGGAAACUUGGAAACUAGAGUUCGGUAGGGGUAGCAGGAAUUCCCAGUGUAGCGGUGAAAUGCGUAGAUAUUGGGAAGAACAUCGGUGGCGAAGGCGUGCUACUGGACCGUAACUGACACUCAGGGACGAAAGCUAGGGGAGCGAAAGGGAUUAGAUACCCCUGUAGUCCUAGCUGUAAACGAUGGAAACUAGGUGUGGCUU